CCGGACUUUCCUCCAUGGGACUGAAGUAUCCCUGGGACCAAGGAGGGACUUUGAAGACCUGAGAUGCCCGUGGGAAGCUGGAGUGCAAGAAUGGCUUCCUCCUGUUGUUUUUCUGAACUUGAAAAGACAUCUCAGGCUACCGGGAGUGGCAAGCCUGCUUCAUACCCCACAUUGACCGUGAAGGGGUCCGGAAGCCAUCAGCACCUGCCCCUGGGAAGCUGUGCGCUGGCUUCCUCCAUGGCUCAGAGACGCAGGAUGUCAGACUCCUUAGAUGCCACUGUGGUAACACGAGGACAAGGGACCGAGAGAGAGCGCGGUGUCCCCAGCACACGCAGCCCCCGCCGACGGGAAGACUGAACCAAGCCCCGCCCUUCUCUGGCCACUAUGUCCUCAGCUUUAGAAUGAGGAACCUCAAUAAGAUCCCUGAGUUGGUGGGGCUCAACUUUGGGAUCUCGCCUGCAGCUGCUGUCAGAGAGACGGUGGCUGGGGUCUGAGUCAUCUGAAGGCUUGGCUCAGCCGGGAUGUCCACCGUGGUGCACGCACACAGCUGGCAGUGGACUGGAGGGCACCCAUGGGGAUUCUCGGUGAGGGCUCUACAUGAGAAAGGGAAGGAGGAGAAGGCCCCCCUGAGUGAAGCCGGCCACGGGGGACAUAAGGGCGCUGGGCUCAAAGCCCACAUGGAAGUGCAGCUGUGAGGAAGGCCUUCAGAAAUGAGUUGGCAAAGGAAAUGCUACGGUGCCUCCCAUCAGCUCUGCUGGAAACGAGCUGGCCUCACAUCCAUCCUCAGUACCCAGGUUCCCAGAUUCCUGGAGCUUUAGAGAGCAUAACGUCUACCCCUCAACAAGAGAAGCACGUGGGUGUGAUUUCCGGCCUUGACCCUGAGGAAGCCGCACCGCCAGGCAGGGUCUCUAUGUGAGAUGCCAGAGGGACUUGGAACUCGGAAAACAUCAGCGAGAGUCAUCAGACCCACUCUGCUUACCAGAUGGACCCCUCUUAUUGUCCUUUCCCUUAAGGUCCACUGUGUUGCCCUGGAGAUGCCCCCACGUGCAGCCCCAGGGAGGCCACAGCUCCCCCAAGUCUCAGGCCUCUGUGCAGCCGCUGGGCGCACAGCAAAAAUUCGUCUGGAGAGUCCCUGGGCCCAGGACUGAGGGGAAUUUCAAGGCCCACGGAUGCAAAGCAGUUUUCAGGGCCGCCUCUGUGCGCAGCUCACGCUGGCGCCUCUCUGCCCGGGAGGCCUCCCUGCCACGCAGGCUGGUCCCGGGGAAGGUCUCCCGCGCUUGCUCAGAACCUGUAUUCCUGCGCCUUCGGCUCGCCCACCUCUCCUGACUCCCACCCCACCCACACCGGGGAAUCUAAUUGCUCCUCCAUUCUCUGGGGGCUCACGUGUGGAAGGGGCCACAUCAGGGCCUUCUGAUCAGCGUCACUGGGGUGCCUCCCACACGCCUGGCACCACGCUGGGGACGAAGAGGCUCAAGAGUGGACGGGCCCCCUUCCUGAAAGGCCUGCGAUGCGGAAGGAGGAGGGAGCCCGGAUGGCUGGUCCGGCCAGUCUCACCGAGCCCAGCGCGAGCACUGGGGGGAGAGGGGUGCUUGAGCCGCGCUGCAGAAAGAUGACUGGAGCAGGCGAACGGUGACCCAAAACCCCCGCGUCGGAGGCUCGAGGCUGUGACCGGCGUCGCGGGCCACGGGGGUCAGGCACUCACUGCGGUUUGCUCACUGUGAGGACGUCAGCCUGGACGGGACGGAGCCAGUUUGGACUUGCUGGACAUCUGGUAUUUGCCCCGCAGGCAGGGGCCGCCUUCGGACGGCCGACGGCCCACAGCGCGUGCUGCGCUCGGCCCCCAAAUUCCACUGGACCACACGGUCAAGUCUCCCUUUCUCGGGUUAGGCCACCAGCUUUCAAAUCACUUUCCAGAAGACACAGUUUAUCUCUUCCCUGCCUGACGAUUCCUUUCAAAAAAUCCUUUAAUUUAUGCACAGAUCAGUAGCCUGGAAAGUCGAACCUCCACGAGUGGCAGGGAGAGAAUAAAUGUGUCCAGUUUCCCGGGAAGAGACCCUGGGGGUGAUGAGGCUGCUGGAACCCAGACGGGCCGGGGCGCACUGCAGGCCUGCGCAUGCCAAGUGUCCCGUCACCUCUCCGGCUGGGCGAUGACAGCGCCGGGCCGGCGGGACUGAGCCUGGACGUUGCUCCGCCUCAGGCAGGGCCCUCACUGGGAGAGCCGCCCCCAGGGUGGUCUGAGGGCACCCAGCCCCUGCACCCAUGAUCCCCCCCCCCCACCGCAGAGGUGCCACUUCACUGGCAUCGCGCCGUGCCCUCGGGUCCCACUCCUUCCGUUCCUGCUGCUGGACUGCGUCUUCCCCUCCCGCCCAGGGCCAUUCACCUCCUCAGCCGACGUUCGGGUGUCCAGCUAACGGUAAAGCAUCCAUGCGUAGAGUGAAGACCCUGCCUCCAGUCUGAUUUUGCUGUUUCUUAGCUCUUUUGAUCUCGAGAAAAAGGGCUUUUCUGUCCAAGAGGUCUCAUUUUUGGAAAAGGUGCUCUGAUACUUCCCUGAGUCACCACAUGUAAUCUUUGUGUGCGGACGACGGCAUGUCGGGCUGUAAGUAGUGCAACUCCCUGGUGCUGAACAGAGGCCCGACGGUGGCCGCCUGCCCGACUGCACUCGCUUCCCUCGGCCGGCCUCCUGAGAGGGGAGAACUGGUUACACACCGUUAAUCAUCUACACAACUAUUAAUCCACAUCUGUUAUAUGCUUGAAGUAAAAGACAUCUCACAGGAGGAUCAAACUGGGGUGAAGGAAAACAUAAAAGUUCAAGGAUUUCCUGGAUUUGGAACAUAAUGUCUAUGCAUUUGCAAUAUGAAGGCAGAUCUAUACACUAUUCUCUGGCGGCCACCGCUCACGGACUGAUCUCAUCAUCAUUAUUGAAAAUUAUCGGAGUUGAAACAUGGAAGGAAUUGAAUUCAGCUGCCAGUGCUACCAUCUGAAGACCAGUGUCUAGAACAACAGAGGGAGGUAUUUCCCUCUCACUUAAACACAGAGGCGGACAGUCCAGAGGGAGUGCAGUGGCCCUGUGAUGAGGUCAGUGCCUCAGCCUCCUUCCGUCAUCCUUCUCCACCGCCCUGAGCACAGUUUCUGUCCUUACGGCAGCAAGAGGGUGGCCUCAGCUCCAGCCAUCACGUUUGGCUCCCAGGAAGAAAGAAGGAGGACUGUGCUUCCCCACCUGGUGACAUCAGACUCAGCCACCUGGCUGCCUUGGCCAGUGCACGGGAGUGGAAUGUGUUUCAUUUCUGGGCAGAAGUCUUAAGAACAAGCAUAUGGUUUUGAUGCCGGGGUUCUUGUUCACGAAGCUGAAGAGUGAGCUGCACAAACAGUCAAGGUAAGAGAGGAAGGUACAGGCUUU